rnacentral:lncRNA from 1 species
UGGGACUUUUUAAAAGAGACAUCAGUUUCAGUCUAUCAUAAAAUUCACUUCAGAACAUGAAGAAUGUAGCCAACCCACAAUGGCUGAGACAAAAAAUUUAAGUACAGAACUUGAAGAACAAAGGAGCAAACUUUAUGAUUGCUGCAAAUAGAAAAAGGCAGCAUGAUUAAGUGCACCUGAAAAUUGAUUGCACAACAACGACACUACGACCAAACCAAAAAUCAGACGAUCUUCUUGCAAGAAACAACUGUCAAUUGAUCUCAGUAGGGCUGGAUUGAUUGCUGUUAUUCUCUUUUUUCCUUUUAUAGGGGCUAAAAUUUCAGAAAAACUGGAAAGAAACUGCCUAGUGAGAACAUAGCAAAACAAAAAUAAUGACGGCAGCACAUCAACAACAAGAAGAUGACUCAGGGAUCUACUCAGCUGCUUCCGCAUGAUCAGAAACAUUGGCUUGCUUCAACUCUCCAGAUCGGAAAUUCGUCUNNN